rnacentral:rRNA from 1 species
GUGAACGCUGGCGGUAGGCCUAACACAUGCAAGUCGAACGGCAGCACAGUAAGAGCUUGCUCUUACGGGUGGCGAGUGGCGGACGGGUGAGGAAUACAUCGGAAUCUACUUUUUCGUGGGGGAUAACGUAGGGAAACUUACGCUAAUACCGCAUACGACCUACGGGUGAAAGCAGGGGAUCUUCGGACCUUGCGCGAUUGAAUGAGCCGAUGUCGGAUUAGCUAGUUGGCGGGGUAAAGGCCCACCAAGGCGACGAUCCGUAGCUCGUCUGAGAGGAUGAUCAGCCACACUGGAACUGAGACACGGUCCAGACUCCUACGGGAGGCAGCAGUGGGGAAUAUUGGACAAUGGGCGCAAGCCUGAUCCAGCCAUACCGCGUGGGUGAAGAAGGCCUUCGGGUUGUAAAGCCCUUUUGUUGGGAAAGAAAAGCAGCAGGUUAAUACCCCGCUGUUCUGACGGUACCCAAAGAAUAAGCACCGGCUAACUUCGUG